rnacentral:rRNA from 1 species
GCACAGCAGAACGACCCGYGAACUAGUAAAUCCAACUCGGGGGCGAGGGGCCCUAGAGCCCCGAASCKCCUUGGYCUGGGGGGCGCCAUCGYCGAGCGGCGCUGGUCGACGCUCGUUGGUGUCGCCCUCCAAGCCGCACAAACGAACCCCGGCGCAAAACGCGCCAAGGAACUUCAACGAAUCAGCAUGCCCCGGCGCCCCAGAAAUGGUGCGUGUCCGGGACGUUGCGUCGUAUUCUUUAUGUCAAAACGACUCUCGGCAACGGAUAUCUCGGCUCUCGCAUCGAUGAAGAACGUAGCGAAAUGCGAUACUUGGUGUGAAUUGCAGAAUCCCGUGAACCAUCGAGUCUUUGAACGCAAGUUGCGCCCGAAGCCAUUAGGCCGAGGGCACGUCUGCCUGGGCGUCACACAACGUUGCCCCCCCCUCGACUUCCAAGAGGACGGGGGGCGGAUGCUGGCCUCCCGUGUGCCACGGCUCGCGGUUGGCCUAAAUGCGAGUACUCGGCGACGAGCGCCGCGGCAAUCGGUGGUUGUCCAACCCUCGGUGCCAUGCUGCGCGCGCGAUCCGCUCACUGUUACUCGACGACCCCAAUGCGUCGUAGCCACGACGCUCACAACGCGACCCCAGGUCAGGC